rnacentral:tRNA from 1 species
GUGUGUGAGUUGCAUUCAGAAGAUGUAGGUUAAAUUCUUACAGAUCUUA